GUCACAUUCUUUUGCUGUCACCAUCUCUUCGUUACACACCAGCACCAACCGCCCUCAGUAUUCUGUCCCUACGUCACAUUUGCCACACUUCAAUGUAUCCUUUGCUCACUUCACGGGUUGAGUUAAAUUUUGAAGUGCUUGGAAUUUACUGCACUCUCAAGUUUCAAAACACUACUUUAAUCAUCACUUACUGUGCUGAAAUAAAAAAAGUGACUUCCUUUCUUUGAGUCCUAAUUGAGUCACUUCUAUUGGAGUUUCAAUGGAAGAUUGUGAAUGGGUUCUUGUAAAGGAGCCCACAGACAGAGAUAUAUGGAACCCAAGUUUGAAAUAUGGUGAGGAAAGUUCUUCUUUGAGGCCUCUUGAGAUAAGGUUUAAUGAGGCAGCUAAGCAUUGGACUGAUGCUCUUCCCAUUGGUAAUGGCCGGCUUGGUGCUAUGGUUUGGGGUGGUGUUUCAUCUGAAAUUCUCAAUCUUAAUGAGGACACACUCUGGACUGGAACUCCUGGGGAUUAUACUAACCCUGAAGCUCCAAAGUCAUUGGCUGAGGUCAGAAAACUUGUUGAUAAUGGCCAAUAUGCAGAGGCUACUGAAGCAGCUGUACAACUGACGGAUAAUUCCCCUGAUGUUUACCAGCUCCUUGGAGAUAUUAAGCUUGAGUUUGAUGAUUCUCAUGGGACAUUUCAAGAAGAAAAGUAUGAGAGAGUGUUGGAUUUGGACACAGCAACAGUGAAAGUAAACUACUCUGUGGGUGACGUAGAAUUUGCAAGGGAAUAUUUUGCAUCAAAUCCAGAUCAAGUGAUUGCAGCAAAGGUUUCCGCAAAUAGGCCGGGGUGUUUGACUUUUACUCUAUCUAUGGAUAGCAAAAUGCAUCAUCAUACUUAUGUCAGCGGAAAUAAUCAAAUUAUUAUGGAAGGAAGUUGCCCAGGUAAAAGAAAGCCCCCCAAAGUGGACACAAAUGACAAUCCCAAGGGAAUUCAAUUUACAGCAAUUCUUGACUUACAGAUCAGUGGAGGCUCAGGUAAUCUACAAGUUUUGGACAAUAGGAGGUUCCGUGUCGAGCAUUGUGAUUGGGCUAUUAUCCUUCUAGUGGCCUCUUCAUCAUUUAAUGGACCUUUUAUCAAGCCUGUGGAUUCAAAAAGGGAUCCUAAGUCAGAGUGUUCAAGCAUGUUGAAUUCAAUAAAGAAGUUUUCAUAUUCUGAAUUGUAUGCGCGGCACUUGGAUGACUAUCAGAAGCUGUUUCAUCGGGUUUCACUGCAGCUGUCAAAAAGCUCAGACAGCGACGCAAAAGAAAGUGGUAGAGUUUCGACUGCAGAUAGGGUGAAGUCCUUUAAAACUGAUGAAGAUCCAUCUCUAGUGGAGCUUCUGUUCCAGUACGGUCGAUAUCUACUUAUUGCAUGUUCACGUCCUGGUACCCAGCCAGCGAACCUGCAGGGCAUAUGGAACUACAUGUUAGAGCCACCGUGGGAUUGUGCCCCUCAUUUGAAUAUCAAUCUUCAAAUGAACUAUUGGCCUGCACUCUCAUGCAAUCUUAAGGAGUGUCAAGAACCUCUUUUUGACUACACAACAUCUCUGUCCCUCUGUGGAUGCAAAACUGCAAAAGUGAACUACGAAGCAUCAGGCUGGGUUGCUCAUCAAGUGUCUGAUAUAUGGGCAAAGACAUCCCCAGAUCGAGGUCAGGCUGUUUGGGCUCUGUGGCAAAUGGGUGGAGCAUGGAUUUGCACCCAUUUAUGGGAGCAUUAUACUUACACAUUGGAUAAAGCGUUUUUGGCAAAUAAGACUUAUCCCUUGCUGGAAGGUUGUACUUCAUUUCUGUUGGAUUGGUUAAUUGAAGGCCGCGGAGGUCAUUUGGAAACCAACCCAUCAACCUCUCCUGAGCAUGCUUUUAUUGCACCGGAUGGUAAGGCUGCUAGUGUGAGCUACUCAUCAACCAUGGACAUGUCAAUCAUUAAAGAAGUUUUCAGUGACAUUGUCUCUGCUGCUGAGGUACUUGGAAAAAGUGAUGAUGAUCUAAUUAAAAGAGUUCUUAAAGCUCAACCUCAUCUUUGUUCAACCAGAAUUGCAAGGGAUGGUUCUAUCAUGGAAUGGGCACAAGAUUUUGAGGAUCCAGAGAUUCAUCAUCGUCAUGUCUCACACCUUUUUGGCCUCUUCCCAGGGCACACAAUCAGUGUACGGGGAACUCCUGCCCUCUGUAAAGCGGCAGAUUAUACCCUAUAUAAAAGAGGUUUGUCUUGGGAUAUGAGUUGGAGGUCAUUUCGACUCUUCUAGUUGACUCCUGAAAUUGGCUCUAGAUUAACUUUUUUGUUGCUUGAAAUUUAAUAAAUCCUACUUCCACAAAGGUUAGAAGGGAAGCCUUGAAGCAACGGUAAAGUUGUCUCCGUAUGACCUAUACGUCACAGGUUUGAGCCGUGGAAUCAGACGUUGAUGCUUGCAUCAGGGUAGGUUGCCUACAUCACACCCACUUAGGGUUCGGCCCUUCUCCGGACCGUAGUAAAUGCGGGAUGCUUCGUGCACCGGGCUGCCCUACUUCCACAAAGGUGUUCUCCAUGUUGUUUAACCUUUGAAAAAUUAUAGCAAUAUAACCAUGCAUUAUGGGGAACUCAGAGGUGAUGCCUGAUCAUGAGAAAUCCCGCAAACCUUUUACAUUCAGAAGAUGCUAACACUCUCCAAACCCUUAAACUGUGAGUAAUAGUUCUUACUCACAGUUUAAAAUGGCAGGAUGGAACCUUUUCUGCAAGAACUGCUUUGUAAAGUGAAAAUGCUAGGAAAUAUUGCAACUAUGUAUGAACCAGAGAAAAAGAGUUCCUGUUGUACAAAAAAUAAGGCCAUACUAUUCCAAAGCGUUUGAGUUGCUUCACGUCACUUUCUUCUUGUUCCUCUCAUUUCCUCGGGAGGAGGGUCCAGGUUGGUCAACAACAUGGAAAGCCGCACUAUGGGCGCGUCUUCAUGAGAGCGAGCAUGCAUACCGCAUGGUCAAGC